rnacentral:tRNA from 1 species
GGCUUGCUGGUCUAGUGGUAUGAUUCUCGCUUAGGGUGCCAGAGGUCACGGGUUCGAUUCCCGUGCAAGCCC